AGGUUAUGCCGAAUGCAUUCUUUGUGCUUGCUGUUCAACUUCCUGCCCAGAAUACUGGUGGCAUGGACAUUCCAAAGCUCCAAAUGACUUUUUAGGACCCGCAGCAUUACUCAAUGCCUACAGGUGGAUCAAAGAUUCAAGAGAUACUGGCACCACUGAGAGACUUUCAAAAUUGACGAAUUAUUAUAAUGUUUUCAGAUGUCACCAAAUCAAUAACUGUACAAAAUGCUGUCCCAAGAAACUCUCUCCUGGAAAGGCCAUAUCUCAAUUGAGAUUACUCGUUUCAAAAUUCAAGAAAAAGAAAAAAGCUGAUCUUGAAGGUCAGUUACCCUCUGACCCCUGUAAGGCUUGUGAACCAAAAGAAGACGAUGACUGAAAUGUACACAUUUAUUUGUUUGACAAAAUAUAUGUUAAGAAGAAA